UACGAAGGGGGCUAGCGUUGCUCGGAAUCACUGGGCGUAAAGGGUGCGUAGGCGGGUCUUUAAGUCAGGGGUGAAAUCCUGGAGCUCAACUCCAGAACUGCCUUUGAUACUGAAGAUCUUGAGUUCGGGAGAGGUGAGUGGAACUGCGAGUGUAGAGGUGAAAUUCGUAGAUAUUCGCAAGAACACCAGCGGCGAAGGCGGCAUCCUGGACUGGUCCUGACACUCAUGAGCGAAAGCGUGGGGAGCGAUCCGG
rnacentral:rRNA from 1 species